GUCGCUAUCGUCUAGUGGUAACGACGUGACGGUGUAGCCGUGACAUCUCCGGUUCAAAUCCGGGCAGUGACU
rnacentral:tRNA from 1 species